rnacentral:lncRNA from 1 species
GUCAGAUUCUUGCAGCCUCCCCGUCCUGGAAACUAGGCAGGUGUGCUGGGCGCCGUGGGCAGACAGGUGCAGCUCCACCCUCCAUCUGUGAGCCCAGACUGGAACCUCCAAGCCGAGUGGGGGGCAACAAGGAAAACUACGUAGUGUCCUUGGGGACAGUGGUGUGGAUGGGUCUCCACAGGGGCAGGGCCAAGGUGGAUUCACUGGCACCGCGGGACAGCAAGGUGUGAUCGGUUGGAUAAGCAAGGAAACCCCCACAUCUGAGCACCUACACUUGGAAGAGGACACUGUUCAGAGUGACCUUUGGCACCGAGUGCAGGACAGUCCAGAAGUGGGUUGGGUGAGGUGUUGCCAGGUGGAGGACUAUUGAAUGUGCUGUGCAUUUGCCUAUGUUGGAAAUCCUGUGGAUUUGGAGAAGAUGGUGGCAGAAGCAAGAAUUUUGAAUCCCCUCGAGUCCUCCCAUAAAACUCAGAGCAGCAAGCAGAAAAACGAAGCUCAAGGGCAUCCUCACGAGCAGGUGGAGGCCAAGUCCCAGCCUCACCGCACAGUUAGCACAUGUGUGCAAGGCCCUCAUCACCCUGUCACAGUUUUUUUUUUUUUUUGGUACCAGGGAUCAAGCUCAGGUCCUUUGGCUUGCAAGGCAGGCGGCAGAACCGCUAAGCUAAAUCCCCAGCCCCUGUUACAGUUUUGAUCUGAAAUGUCCCCCAAAUUUGGGAAUUUGUACCCGUAAGAAAGAAAUAAAAAAA